GAAAAAUAACGAUACGGGACUCAUCCGAGGCCCCGUAAUCGGAAUGAGUACACUUUAAAUCCUUUAACGAGUAUCCAUUGGAGGGCAAGUCUGGUGCCAGCAGCCGCGGUAAUUCCAGCUCCAAUAGCGUAUAUUAAAGUUGUUGCGGUUAAAAAGCUCGUAGUUGGACUUGUGUCCCACGCUGUCGGUUCACCGCCCGUCGGUGUUCAACUGACAUGUAUCGUGGGACGUCCUGCCGGUGGUGGCGAGUCGAAAGACCGCGCCCCUGCGGUUCUCCGCGGGUCGGUUGCGGUCCGUAGGCGGACCCCGAUGAAAUCCUACCGCGGUGCUCUUAAACGAGUGUCGAGGUGGGCCGGCACGUUUACUUUGAACAAAUUAGAGUGCUUAAAGCAGGCCUGAUGCGCCUGAAUACUGUGUGCAUGGAAUAAUGGAAUAGGACCUCGGUUCUAUUUUGUUGGUUUUCGGAACCCGAGGUAAUGAUUAAUAGGGACAGUCGGGGGCAUUCGUAUUGCGACGUUAGAGGUGAAAUUCUUGGAUCGUCGCAAGACGGACCGAAGCGAAAGCAUUUGCCAAGUAUGUUUUCAUUAAUCAAGAACGAAAGUUAGAGGUUCGAAGGCGAUCAGAUACCGCCCUAGUUCUAACCAUAAACGAUGCCAGCUAGCGAUCCGCCGAAGUUCCUCCGAUGACUCGGCGGGCAGCUCCCGGGAAACCAAAGCUUUUGGGUUCCGGGGGAAGUAUGGUUGCAAAGCUGAAACUUAAAGGAAUUGACGGAAGGGCACCACCAGGAGUGGAGCCUGCGGCUUAAUUUGACUCAACACGGGAAACCUCACCAGGCCCGGACACUGGAA
rnacentral:rRNA from 1 species